AGGCACAGACAACACUCAUAAAAAAAUAAGGAGGGACCCACACGAUUUUGGACCCGAUUCUGUUUUCUUUUCUUGCUCAAUAAUCCACACAGAUAGACACAACAUAUCCUCUAUUUUCUUUCACAAUAAUUCAUUCACACUCACGACCAAGCUACAUACGCACACCAUUUUGAAUCCCCAUUUUGGCCAUUGACAGGACCUCACCAUACAAAAAUAAUAUACAGAUUAAUAGGGAUAACAGGGGGAGAUUGAGAGAGAAAAAGAGGGAGAAUGGGGUGAGGAGAAGAAACAGUGAAGGGAGAAACGAUGAGAGAGUGAAAUCGAGAGAAAAGGAGACGAACGAAGAAGCAAUCUAUAACCUAAAUCGGCCCAACCAGACCCGAAUCCGGCGAAGUCUGCCGAAAAUCGGUCAAAACAGUAACUAGGGGUGCGAAAUAGGUUCGGGAUUAUCGUCAUUGUUGGUUCAAAAUCCGGUUAGUCGAGGUUCGAGUUGAGGCUCCGUCUUUUGAUUGUGAAAUUCGACACACAAAAAGCUCAUUUGAAGGAGCCCGCCUGAAGAACAGGGUGAUGAAAUUGCAAGUCAGGAGUCCGCCUGAAGAACAGGGUGAUGAAUAUUGAAAGUCAGGAGUCCGCCUGAAGAACAGGGUGAGGAAGAUGAAAGCCAAGCAACAAGGUAAAGAAAUCGAAAGUCGAAAAAUAGCAAGUCAGGAGCCCGCCCGAAGCAUCGGGCGAAUAAAUGGAAAGUCAAAGAAACAAAGUGAAAAAGUUGAAAGCCAAGCAACAAAGUGAAGGAAUUAAGAUCCAACAGUUUGAAAAAUAGCAAGUCAGGAUACCGCCUGAAGAAUAGGGUGAUGAAACUCAAGUGAAGAGUCCAAAAGAAGCUGCAUAGAUAGGACUUUUAUAAUUUCACUUAUGUUUUAACUUGUAAUUAUUGUUUUUGAUGUAAUGAAAGAGCCGCAGAUCGGAACCUCGAUAGAAACUCGCUCGACUCUUCAACUCGGUAUAGUCCCUCUUCUUUCAGUUCUUGGGAAUACCUGUGACUUGAUUCCCUUAUAACUAGGGAUGAGUAUGACAUCCAAAGUCAAGACUUGAUUUCGCUCCUUCCUACUAUUUCAUUCUUGUUGAAUAAUGGUCGGGAUAAAAUUUUGUCUCAUUGUCUA